AGCGUACACGGUGGAUGCCCUGGCAGUCAGAGGCGAUGAAGGACGUGCUAAUCUGCGAUAAGCGCCGGUAAGGUGAUAUGAACCGUUAUAACCGGCGAUUUCCGAAUGGGGAAACCCAGUGUGAUUCGUCACACUAUCAUUAACUGAAUCCAUAGGUUAAUGAGGCGAACCGGGGGAACUGAAACAUCUAAGUACCCCGAGGAAAAGAAAUCAACCGAGAUUCCCCCAGUAGCGGCGAGCGAACGGGGAGGAGCCCAGAGCCUGAAUCAGCAUGUGUGUUAGUGGAAGCGUCUGGAAAGGUGCGCGAUACAGGGUGACAGCCCCGUACACAAAAGCGCAUGUGCUGUGAGCUCGAUGAGUAGGGCGGGACACGUGGUAUCCUGUCUGAAUAUGGGGGGACCAUCCUCCAAGGCUAAAUACUCCUGACUGACCGAUAGUGAACCAGUACCGUGAGGGAAAGGCGAAAAGAACCCCGGCGAGGGGAGUGAAAAAGAACCUGAAACCGUGUACGUACAAGCAGUGGGAGCACAGGUUUACCUGUGUGACUGCGUACCUUUUGUAUAAUGGGUCAGCGACUUAUAUUCUGUAGCAAGGUUAACCGAAUAGGGGAGCCGGAGGGAAACCGAGUCUUAAUUGGGCGUUAAGUUGCAGGGUAUAGACCCGAAACCCGGUGAUCUAGCCAUGGGCAGGUUGAAGGUUGGGUAACACUAACUGGAGGACCGAACCGACUAAUGUUGAAAAAUUAGCGGAUGACCUGUGGCUGGGGGUGAAAGGCCAAUCAAACCGGGAGAUAGCUGGUUCUCCCCGAAAGCUAUUUAGGUAGCGCCUCGUGAAUUCAUCUCCGGGGGUAGAGCACUGUUUCGGCUAGGGGGCCAUCCCGGCUUACCAACCCGAUGCAAACUGCGAAUACCGGAGAAUGUUAUCACGGGAGACACACGGCGGGUGCUAACGUCCGKCGUGAAGAGGGAAACAACCCAGACCGCCAGCUAAGGUCCCAAAGUCAUGGUUAAGUGGGAAACGAUGUGGGAAGGCCCAGACAGCCAGGAUGUUGGCUUAGAAGCAGCCAUCAUUUAAAGAAAGCGUAAUAGCUCACUGGUCGAGUCGGCCUGCGCGGAAGAUGUAACGGGGCUAAACCAUGCACCGAAGCUGCGGCAGCGACGCUGAUGCGUUGUUGGGUAGGGGAGCGUUCUGUAAGCCUGCGAAGGUGACCUGUGAGGGUUGCUGGAGGUAUCAGAAGUGCGAAUGCUGACAUAAGUAACGAUAAAGCGGGUGAAAAGCCCGCUCGCCGGAAGACCAAGGGUUCCUGUCCAACGUUAAUCGGGGCAGGGUGAGUCGACCCCUAAGGCGAGGCCGAAAGGCGUAGUCGAUGGGAAACGGGUUAAUAUUCCCGUACUUGGUGUUACUGCGAAGGGGGGACGGAGAAGGCUAUGUUGGCCGGGCGACGGUUGUCCCGGUUUAAGCGUGUAGGUGUGUGUUCCAGGUAAAUCCGGUUCACUUUAACACUGAGGCGUGACGACGAGGCACUACGGUGCUGAAGCAACAAAUGCCCUGCUUCCAGGAAAAGCCUCUAAGCAUCAGGUAACAUCAAAUCGUACCCCAAACCGACACAGGUGGUCAGGUAGAGAAUACCAAGGCGCUUGAGAGAACUCGGGUGAAGGAACUAGGCAAAAUGGUGCCGUAACUUCGGGAGAAGGCACGCUGACACGUAGGUGAAGUGAUUUACUCAUGGAGCUGAAGUCAGUCGAAGAUACCAGCUGGCUGCAACUGUUUAUUAAAAACACAGCACUGUGCAAACACGAAAGUGGACGUAUACGGUGUGACGCCUGCCCGGUGCCGGAAGGUUAAUUGAUGGGGUCAGCGCAAGCGAAGCUCCUGAUCGAAGCCCCGGUAAACGGCGGCCGUAACUAUAACGGUCCUAAGGUAGCGAAAUUCCUUGUCGGGUAAGUUCCGACCUGCACGAAUGGCGUAAUGAUGGCCAGGCUGUCUCCACCCGAGACUCAGUGAAAUUGAACUCGCUGUGAAGAUGCAGUGUACCCGCGGCAAGACGGAAAGACCCCGUGAACCUUUACUAUAGCUUGACACUGAACAUUGAGCCUUGAUGUGUAGGAUAGGUGGGAGGCUUUGAAGUGUGGACGCCAGUCUGCAUGGAGCCGACCUUGAAAUACCACCCUUUAAUGUUUGAUGUUCUAACGUGGACCCGUAAUCCGGGUUGCGGACAGUGUCUGGUGGGUAGUUUGACUGGGGCGGUCUCCUCCUAAAGAGUAACGGAGGAGCACGAAGGUUGGCUAAUCCUGGUCGGACAUCAGGAGGUUAGUGCAAUGGCAUAAGCCAGCUUGACUGCGAGCGUGACGGCGCGAGCAGGUGCGAAAGCAGGUCAUAGUGAUCCGGUGGUUCUGAAUGGAAGGGCCAUCGCUCAACGGAUAAAAGGUACUCCGGGGAUAACAGGCUGAUACCGCCCAAGAGUUCAUAUCGACGGCGGUGUUUGGCACCUCGAUGUCGGCUCAUCACAUCCUGGGGCUGAAGUAGGUCCCAAGGGUAUGGCUGUUCGCCAUUUAAAGUGGUACGCGAGCUGGGUUUAGAACGUCGUGAGACAGUUCGGUCCCUAUCUGCCGKGGGCGCUGGAGAACUGAGGGGGGCUGCUCCUAGUACGAGAGGACCGGAGUGGACGCAUCACUGGUGUUCGGGUUGUCAUGCCAAUGGCACUGCCCGGUAGCUAAAUGCGGAAGAGAUAAGUGCUGAAAGCAUCUAAGCACGAAACUUGCCCCGAGAUGAGUUCU
rnacentral:rRNA from 1 species